CCUACGGGUGGCAGCAGUGAGGAAUAUUGGUCAAUGGUCGGGAGACUGAACCAGCCAAGCCGCGUGAGGGAUGAAGGUACAGCGUAUCGUAAACCUCUUUUGUCAGGGAACAAAGGCGGGUACGUGUCCCCGGAUGCGUGUACCUGACGAAUAAGCAUCGACUAACUCCGUGCCAGCAGCCGCGGUAAUACGGAGGAUGCGAGCGUUAUCCGGAUUUAUUGGGUUAAAAGGGUGCGCAGGCGGAAGAUCAAGUCAGCGGUAAAAUUGAGGGGCUCAACCCCUUCGAGCCGUUGAAACUGGUGUUCUUGAGUGAGCGAAAAGUAGGCGGAAUGCGUGGUGUAGCGGUGAAAUGCAUAGAUAUCACGCAGAACUCCGAUUGCGAAGGCAGCAUACCGGAGCGCAACUGACGCUCAUGCACGAAAGUGUGGGUAUCGAACAGGAUUAGAUACCCUUGUAGUC
rnacentral:rRNA from 1 species